rnacentral:tRNA from 1 species
GGAAAUGUGGCCUAGUGGUAGAGUGCUUGCCUAGCGUGCAAGAAGCCGUGGGUUCAAUUCCUCAGUACCA